UACGUAGGGACCGAGCGUUGUCCGGAAUCAUUGGGCGUAAAGAGCGUGUAGGCGGCUAUUUAAGUCCUGCGUGAAAUCCUGCGGCUCAACCGCAGACGGUCGUGGGAAACUGGAUGGCUAGAGUGCGGGAGAGGAGAGUGGAAUUCCCGGUGUAGCGGUGAAAUGCGCAGAUAUCGGGAAGAACACCCGUGGCGAAGGCGGCUCUCUGGAACGCAACUGACGCUGUAGCGCGAAAGCGUGGGGAGCGAACAGG
rnacentral:rRNA from 1 species